GAUGAACGCUGGCGGCGUGCCUAAUACAUGCAAGUCGAGCGAACAGACGAGGAGCUUGCUCCUCUGACGUUAGCGGCGGACGGGUGAGUAACACGUGGAUAACCUACCUAUAAGACUGGGAUAACUUCGGGAAACCGGAGCUAAUACCGGAUAAUAUAUUGAACCGCAUGGUUCAAUAGUGAAAGACGGUUUUGCUGUCACUUAUAGAUGGAUCCGCGCCGCAUUAGCUAGUUGGUAAGGUAACGGCUUACCAAGGCAACGAUGCGUAGCCGACCUGAGAGGGUGGUCGGCCACACUGGAACUGAGACACGGUCCAGACUCCUACGGGAGGCAGCAGUAGGGAAUCUUCCGCAAUGGGCGAAAGCCUGACGGAGCAACGCCGCGUGAGUGAUGAAGGUCUUCGGAUCGUAAAACUCUGUUAUUAGGGAGGAACAAAUGUGUAAGUAACUAUGCACGUCUUGACGGUACCUAAUCAGAAAGCCACGGCUAACUACGUG
rnacentral:rRNA from 1 species